AUUUAAACGAAACAUGGCCUCUGAACUCUGAUUGUCUUGGAUAGUUUGAGUUGUUGGUCUAUCAAUCUGCUUCAGAGAAGCAAAACAACUUUCUUUGGUUCCCUUAUAUAACUUUAAUCAAUAUUGAUCACUUGACCUGGAAGGUGACUGCAAAUCUUUAUAUGUAUGUUGGUAAAUGGUGUUGCAUCAGAAAAAUAAAAAAAAGGAAGAAAACUAAUUUUAGCGAUGAAAGGAUUGCAAUAGCAAUGAUCAUCAAUUAAAUUCAACCUAUGUUAUUCUGGAGUGGCAUUCUGUGAAUGUGUGAAUAAACUCCUGAAUAUGGAACUCUGAUGUUGAUGGUUUGAUGAUACUCUACCGCUAUAGAUGCACUUUCUUAGUGAAA
rnacentral:misc_RNA from 1 species